rnacentral:rRNA from 1 species
CCUACGGGUGGCAGCAGUGAGGAAUAUUGGUCAAUGGGCGCGAGCCUGAACCAGCCAAGUAGCGUGAGGGAUGACUGCCCUACGUGUUGUAAACUUCUUUUAUACCGGAAUAAAGUGAUGCACGUGUGCCGUUUUGUCUGUACUUUAUGAAUAAGGGUCGGCUAACUCCGUGCCAGCAGCCGCGGUAAUACGGAGGAUCCGAGCGUUAUCCGGAUUUAUUGGGUUUAAAGGGAGCGUAGACGGGUUUUUAAGUCAGCGGUAAAAUCCCGGGGCUCAACCCCGGCGGGCCGUUGAAACUGGAUGCAUUGAGAUGACGACAGGUAGGCGGAAUGCGCAGUGUAGCGGUGAAAUGCUUAGAUAUUGCGCAGAACCCCGAUUGCGAAGGCAGCAUACCGGCGGCGAUCUGACGCUGAGGCACGAAAGCGUGGGUAUCGAACAGGAUUAGAUACCCCGGUAGUC